AAUCGGACAAGGUGUGGUGGCUCACACUUGUAAUCCCAGGGCUUUGGGAGGCCAAGGCAGCAGGAUCAUUUGAGCCCAGGAGGUCGAGUCUGCAAUGAGGUCCAGCUAGAAAUGUCUAGAUGCAUAGCUAAAGCAUGGAGACUGCAAUCUGAAGGCCGCAUGGCUGCCCUGCUGGCACGGAGGUUUUGGAAUCCGACUGCCCCUAGUGGGCUCUGACUCCUAAAUGGCUGCUGCACAUCAUACCUUGGUCUCCUCUGUGAGUUCCCUCCAUCUAUGGCGUGUAGAGACAUAUUCCAAAACUCCAUUUACAAGGUCUAUUUGGACUGCAAAAGACUGAAUGAUAAGGUCACUGGAACAGUCAGCUGGCACAAUCAUAGGAAAGCACGAAUUUCACUCCCAUGCUGAUAAACUGAGAGAGGUUUCAGUCCACACUGACAGACUAUCAGACUAGAAUAGCCAUCCAACGGUCCUACACAAACU
rnacentral:lncRNA from 10 species